CCUACGGGAGGCAGCAGUGGGGAAUUUUGGACAAUGGGCGCAAGCCUGAUCCAGCCAUGCCGCGUGUGGGAAGAAGGCCUUCGGGUUGUAAACCACUUUUGUCAGGGAAGAAACGGUCUGAACUAAUACUUUGGACUAAUGACGGUACCUGAAGAAUAAGCACCGGCUAACUACGUGCCAGCAGCCGCGGUAAUACGUAGGGUGCAAGCGUUAAUCGGAAUUACUGGGCGUAAAGCGUGCGCAGGCGGCUUUGCAAGACAGAUGUGAAAUCCCCGGGGCUCAACCUGGGAACUGCAUUUGUGACUGCAUGGCUAGAGUACGGUAGAGGGGGAUGGAAUUCCGCGUGUAGCAGUGAAAUGCGUAGAUAUGCGGAGGAACACCGAUGGCGAAGGCAAUCCCCUGGACCUGUGCUGACGCUCAUGCACGAAAGCGUGGGGUAGCAAACAGGAUUAGAUACCCUGGUAGUCCACGCCCUAAACGAUGUCAACUGGUUGUUGGGAGGGUUUCUUCUCAGUAACGAAGCUAACGCGUGAAGUUGACCGCCUGGGGAGUACGGCCGCAAGGUUGAACUCAAGGAUUGACGGCUGNGACGUGCGACGGCGACGACGAGGGGAGGAGG
rnacentral:rRNA from 1 species